CCUACCUUUCAAAAUCCAGAUAUUUUCAAUGUAUGUUUAUAAUGGUUUGCAUAAAUAUUUUUGUAACAUUAAACUCCUUUUAACAAUGUGACUCUGCUCAGUCCUCUUUAGAAUGACAUGGCGGCUUUGAGGAAGUGCUGGUGUAGAAUGUUACUUGAGAACUCCAGCCAAAGGGGUUUAGACUUUAUUGAGCCAUUAAUGAGAAGACAGAGUAAAGACUUGCACCACCUAUGAAGUGAACAAAAAAAUGUCUUGCUAUUCUGUUCCAUAGCACCGUGUUCUGCAGAUUUCAGAUCUUUACUUUUAGAAGAAAUGUCAGCCUCCCUUCUCCAACAUCCAGCACGGGGCACCGAUGAGCAGCAACACAGAGAAUCCUUCAGCAUCUUACCGAGGCAGAGAAGUGGUGUGCUGAGAACAUUUCUGUGUUCAGAGGGCACAUCUCACUCCCUUCAUUACUGUCAAUGGACAAAGACGACAUUGAGGAGGCCCUUCAGAAAUUUGAUUUGCUAGCUGAGUUUCCAUAAGAAGAGGAGAGGAAAUAUGUCUUUAGACCCUUCAUCAUACUUUUUUCACAUAUGGAAGACAUGAAUCUUUAGAUAACGUGAGAGGAAAAAGGAAAAUGACUGUGUUUUGUGAGAAACGUAACAAACAUAAGUGUCCGUCAUUGUUCAGUUACAACCUACAAUUCUUGUCCUUUAUUUUAUAUAUUCUUUAACUUUUUUGUGAUAAAUGUUGCAAACCAACUUCAUCUUUACAGUCCAUUGUCUCUGAUUUGCACUUCUUAGUGUUAUGUAUUAAAAUAAUGUUUUAUAAAGCAGGACAAGGCACUUU